GAUGAACGCUGACAGAAUGCUUAACACAUGCAAGUCUACUUGAUCCUUCGGGUGAUGGUGGCGGACGGGUGAGUAACGCGUAAAGAACUUGCCCUGCAGUCUGGGACAACAUUUGGAAACGAAUGCUAAUACCGGAUAUUAUGUGAGUUUCGCAUGAAAUUCAUAUGAAAGCUAUAUGCGCUGCAGGAGAGCUUUGCGUCCUAUUAGCUAGUUGGUGAGGUAACGGCUCACCAAGGCGAUGAUAGGUAGCCGGCCUGAGAGGGUGAACGGCCACAAGGGGACUGAGACACGGCCCUUACUCCUACGGGAGGCAGCAGUGGGGAAUAUUGGACAAUGGACCAAAAGUCUGAUCCAGCAAUUCUGUGUGCACGAUGAAGUUUUUCGGAAUGUAAAGUGCUUUCAGUUGGGAAGAAGAAAGUGACGGUACCAACAGAAGAAGCGACGGCUAAAUACGUGCCAGCAGCCGCGGUAAUACGUAUGUCGCAAGCGUUAUCCGGAUUUAUUGGGCGUAAAGCGCGUCUAGGCGGUUUGGUAAGUCUGAUGUGAAAAUGCGGGGCUCAACUCCGUAUUGCGUUGGAAACUGCUAAACUAGAGUACUGGAGAGGUAGGCGGAACUACAAGUGUAGAGGUGAAAUUCGUAGAUAUUUGUAGGAAUGCCGAUGGGGAAGCCAGCCUACUGGACAGAUACUGACGCUAAAGCGCGAAAACGUGGGUAGCAAACAGG
rnacentral:rRNA from 1 species